rnacentral:lncRNA from 1 species
UGUUUUCAUUUUGUUAUUUGUUUGCGUAACUAUGGAACGAAUGUUUUUCCAGUUUUGCUAUUUGUUUGGCAGAAAGUGACCGAUGUAAAAAUUGGACGAGUGAGAGAUGGAUUUUAAUUUUUUUGUCAUGUUUAUUUCAUAAAUAUAUUCAGCUUAGGUGAGGCUAAAGUCAAUUACAAUAUUUUGAAAAUUUUGAAUUUCAACCGAAGGUAAAAUAUUAUGAACCAAACAACGAAGUGAGCAUUAAUGGCUAAGACCUACUUUAUAGCUCCCCAUUUUUUAAGUCCUGUUUGGUUACUCCUAAGUCCUUGAAGUGAGAAAUUCACUUUUAAAAUUGUCUUUUCUAAAAAAGUCUUUUUAACUUCAGUUGUUCGGUUAAUUAUAGAGUGAAAGAAGAAAAUUGUAAUUUCUGAUUAUUGUUGUUUGAUUGUACAUAAGUCGUAAUUUAAAUUUAAUUUAAAAUUACAUAAUUUAAAUUUAAAAUUUUGGUUCGGUUUUGAAAUUAUAUUGAAUUUUAUAUAUUUUAUAAAUUAAAUUCAGGGCUUUCUUUGUAUUUGGCCAUCUCAAAAAAAUUAUUUUUACAAAUAACCCCACCAAAUUUAUAAUUGUAAUUUUGGCUCUAUCUCUGCCACGUAGAUGCCACAUAAGCGCCACGCAAGUAAGGGGAGGUGUUUGAAUAAGUUGAACACAGUAAUCCAUUCACUGUGUCUAAACAUGGUGAAUGGUUUACCGUGUUUGGAAAAAAUACAAAUAUAUGUAUUGCUAAAAAAUAUAAGUAUUGAAAAGGGGGAAUAAGAAGAAGAAUAUAAGUAUGGAACAAAGUGAAUCGAAUAUAAGUAUGGAAUACGGUGAAUCAUUCACCGUAUUCAACUUAACACCCCUCCAACUCACGUGGCGCUGAUGUGGCGCCUGUAUGGUGGAGCUAGGAUAAAAUUUGUAAUUAUAAAUUUGAUGGGGCUAUUUAUAAAAUUUUUUUUAAGGGAGCCAAAUGCAAAAUAAAAGCCCUAAAAUUCAAAAUG